rnacentral:rRNA from 1 species
AUUGAACGCUGGCGGCAGGCCUAACACAUGCAAGUCGAGCGGAUGAAGGGAGCUUGCUCCUGGAUUCAGCGGCGGACGGGUGAGUAAUGCCUAGGAAUCUGCCUGGUAGUGGGGGAUAACGUCCGGAAACGGGCGCUAAUACCGCAUACGUCCUGAGGGAGAAAGUGGGGGAUCUUCGGACCUCACGCUAUCAGAUGAGCCUAGGUCGGAUUAGCUAGUUGGUGGGGUAAAGGCCUACCAAGGCGACGUUCCGUAACUGGUCUGAGAGGAUGAUCAGUCACACUGGAACUGAGACACGGUCCAGACGCCUACGGGAGGCAGCAGUGGGGAAUACUGGACAAUGGGCGAAAGCCUGAUCCAGCCAUGCCGCGUGUGUGAAGAAGGUCUUCGGAUUGUAAAGCACUUUAAGUUGGGAGGAAGGGCAGUAAGUUAAUACCUUGCUGUUUUGACGUUAACAACAGAAUAAGCACCGGCUAACUUCGUG